CCUACGGGCGGCUGCAGUGGGGAAUAUUGGACAAUGGGCGAAAGCCUGAUCCAGCCAUGCCGCGUGUGUGAAGAAGGCCUUCGGGUUGUAAAGCACUUUCAGUGGGGAAGAAAGCCUUGGGGCUAAUACCCUCGAGGAAGGACAUCACCCACAGAAGAAGCACCGGCUAACUCCGUGCCAGCAGCCGCGGUAAUACGGAGGGUGCGAGCGUUAAUCGGAAUUACUGGGCGUAAAGCGCGCGUAGGCGGUCUGAUAAGCCGGUUGUGAAAGCCCCGGGCUCAACCUGGGAACGGCAUCCGGAACUGUCAGGCUAGAGUGCAGGAGAGGAAGGUAGAAUUCCCAGUGUAGCGGUGAAAUGCGUAGAGAUCGGGAGGAAUACCAGUGGCGAAGGCGGCCUUCUGGACUGACACUGACGCUGAGGUGCGAAAGCGUGGGUAGCAAACAGGAUUAGAUACCCCAGUAGUC
rnacentral:rRNA from 1 species